GGGGGAGGGAAGUAUGGAGGCAUUAGCCAAAUGGAAGCAAGGCCAGCAGUGUUUUUGUUAAUGGCAUGAAGCUGAGGAGAGGCCUUGCCCAAACUCCAGGUGGGCCUCCAUCGUUUUGUCCCCUCGAGUGUAGUGCUUAACCUGCCUCGCUUCAGUAAGUGCCCAGCUGUGCAAAUGGCUAAUGUGAUUGUGAAGAUAUAAGCCCAAGAUAAUGGCAUCUGCCAAGCAAUCAAGAAUAAUGUUCCUCAGCAUCAGGCUGCGAUUAAAAGACAGCGCAAGGAAAUGGAUGCUGGGAUGGGGCCUGGAGAAGAGAGUGAUGUGCUAAAUGGUUGUAAAGGACAGAAGCAAGGAGAUGAACUGUCAAAGCAAUCUGUUUAGAGAGAAAUUAAAUACUGGAAUAAUUGAAGGAAUGAAUUGACAUUCAAAGGUGCACUGCCUCUUAAUAAAUCAAAGUUUGGUCACCUCUUUAGAUCCCCUGGGCGUGCCAGCAUUUCUGCAUGUCAGCAUCUGGGGGUUCACGCUAUCCCAAUUCAUUCCCAGGGCGUCAAUUGUUGAUGUGUUGUCACAGCCUGGCAUCUCAUAGAAACACCCAAGGAGUCCUUUGGCAUCAAGGCUGUGAUGCGCCAGGAUUGCGCCUAUACUGACGAAGUCUUUGACACUUCCCUCCUGCUUGCAAAUACCCUUUUGGCAAACCCUUCUAAUGUCCAGUCUUCCCACAGCCAGCACCUUGUACAUCGAACUCCAGCAGCACCUGACGAAACUGCAGGAUUUCUUUGGGACACAAAGUCACUAUAUUCAGUUCAGUGUCACUGAUGGCUUUCAUCAACUUACUACAUGUUUUUUUUUCUUAAUUCUUAAUACUCCAGUUGUCUAAAACACAGCAGUUGCCGCUAUACUGUAGCGCUUGCGAAUCCUGGCUGCUUUACAGGGUUUACCUCUGCAGUGGGUUCCCACUUUUCAUAUUAGCCUCCACUUUUCCUCAUUAAAUAGCGCACAUAUCAUGGAUAGAUAGAUGAUGACUUACUGAUUCUGAAACAGAGACCUCAUUUUCACUCAUAAGUGACUGUAAAUUGGUCUGAUAUUCUGCAAAUGAUAUUUCCUUAGAUAGCUUGAGAGGACCAUUACUGUUUGGGGCCUGUGAAGUCCACCGAGACCAAAAGCAUCCUGCGCAGUUUUUGACCAUAACAGGCUUGUGCAGCUUUAGCCUGGUUUGUAGUUUUAUUUGAUGCAAAGAAAUAAUCCUUUUAAUUACGUGAUGCUAUUUUGCUAAGCUAAAUAUAAUAGUUAUUUAGCACCAGGUGACCGUCGUUAGGGCCGUCCCCCAGCCCAGUCAUGAAUGGCUGGUGUGUGUGAAUGCGGGUGUGUAUAUGAGUGCGAAUGGUUGUCUGUGUCUAUGUGUUGGCCCUGCGACGGACUGGACAACCCGUCCAGGGUGUACCCUGCCUCUCACCCCAAGACAGCUGGGAUAGGUUCGAGCCCCCCCGUGACCCUGUAAAAGGAUAAGCGGCAGAGAAUGGAUGGAUGGAUGGAUACAUAUAGUAGUCACAAACUUAUAAAUGAACAAGCAAUGGUCGGAAAUGCUGGUUUUUAAACCUGAUCCUGAAAUACUGUGUAAUUGUUCAUACAUCAGUGAAGUAUUCUGGUAAAAAUCAAAGAAGUAAAGCUUAAAAGAGAUACUCAGAUCCUACUUUCUUUUCAACCCUUGUUUUUUUGUCAGAUUGUCCAUUUCCAACAUCAAAGAUUUGUAGAAAAAUGGAGACUCCGAUUCUAUUUGACCAUCUGUUGAAGUCCGUUAGUUGAGUCACGCUGAUACCUUUAUGGUAUGUAGUGUAUGUGUGGAACACACGUAAGCCGCAGUAGAUGCUGCUUCUUAAUAAACAAAUAAUGAAACUGGAUGAAAUGUGAACAAGGUGUCAGCAUAGUGUGGCAGGCCAUGCCAAGUUCUGGGUCACAGCCCACUUCGUAAUAGGUGUGGUAACCCAGUACACCUUGCAAUAUUUGAUGCUGGUUUCCAAAUGGAAACCCUCAGGGGGAAACAUAUUACAGCUUUGCCAGAAACUUGUUAUUAUGCACGUGACUGCUGGCAGGAAAGUUUUGGUAAAAACUUAAUGGCUCAAGUCACCUGAGUUCAUCUGAAGGUGGAUUGAAAUAACAAAAAGUAAUAUUUUAAAUAAAUCAUUAUUAGGCCAUGUAGUUUUCGUGAUACUGUGAGAGAAGUAAAACUCUGAAAAUCACAUAUGGUGCAUUGUACAUUUCAACAGUUUUGUGUUUGGCUGCAUCAGGUUUAAAGUCCAAAAUAAACCCAAACAUUGUUCUCAUGGUAGAGAAAGGCUCACUCUGCACACCUUAGAUAACUUUAAUAUACGUACAUACAGUAAUGGCCUUUCUUUGGAAGACCGAGUGGCAGAGAGAGGGUUAAGAAGAUGGAGGGGUGUCGAAUGAUAGAAAAUUAUGUUUUGACAGUCAGGAGGUGGUAGGGCAUGGGGACGCUGAGAAUAGAUGCACUUUCAGUGGCAUGAAAUAUUGAGGAGAGGAGAGAGAAAACAAGAGCCGAGCAGCAUGUGUCUGAUGAGCAAACACAAAGAGAAGAAAUUAUUAGCAUGACUGUUACAGAGAGGAGAAAUAUUUUCCAUUGCACAAAACCUUCAGGAGGCAAAAAUAGAAGAAUACAGGACUUUUUUUUUUCUAGGAAAAAAUGUUGAUGAAGAGAAAUAAAAUAGGAUUUCAUAAUACAUCAAAAGAAAGGCAGCUGCAUAUCCAGUAUGAUUCAUUUUUUCAAGCACUCUUAUAUUGUAAUGUAAUUAUGUAAUGAGAGCAGCACAUUCAUAAAACCAUGUUGCUUUUA
ensembl:lncRNA